UUCCCAGUGUGGCUUUAGGCCCCAUAAAAUAGCAACCGGGCCAUUUUCAACCCAAGCAAUGUUACAAACUUUAAUUGGAGACCUUAAGGAACAAUGUAAAAUACCCUUUAUAAUCAUUCUAUAACCCCUUUAAUACCCAGAAUUGGCUGGAUAACUUUUUCAAAA